rnacentral:tRNA from 1 species
CGGGACGUGGCGCAGUCUGGUAGCGCACGUGACUGGGGGUCACGUGGUCGCCGGUUCGAAUCCGGCCGUCCCGACCA